rnacentral:rRNA from 1 species
UACAGAGGUCUCAAGCGUUGUUCGGAUUCAUUGGGCGUAAAGGGUGCGUAGGCGGCGCGGUAAGUCGGGUGUGAAAUCUCGGAGCUUAACUCCGAAACUGCAUUCGAUACUGCCGUGCUUGAGGACUGGAGAGGAGACUGGAAUUUACGGUGUAGCGGUGAAAUGCGUAGAUAUCGUAAGGAAGACCAGUGGAGAAGGCGGGUCUCUGGACAGUUCCUGACGCUGAGGCACGAAGGUCAGGGGAGCAAACGGG